CUAAGCCAUGCGAGUCAUUGUAGCAAUACAAGGGCAGACGGCUCAGUAACGCGUAGUCAAUCUACCCUAUGGACGGGAAUAACCUCGGGAAACCGAGAAUAAUGCCCGAUAGAACAUUAUGCCUGGAAUGGUUUAUGUUUCAAAUGAUUUAUCGCCAUAGGAUGGGACUGCGGCCUAUCAGUUUGUUGGUGAGGUAAUGGCCCACCAAGACUAUUACAGGUACGGGCUCUGAGAGGAGUAGCCCGGAGAUGGGUACUGAGACACGGACCCAGGCCCUAUGGGGCGCAGCAGGCGAGAAAACUUUGCAAUGUGCGAAAGCACGACAAGGUUAAUCCGAGUGGUUUCUGCUAAAGAAACCUUUUGUCAGUCCUAGAAACACUAACGAAUAAGGGGUGGGCAAGUUCUGGUGUCAGCCGCCGCGGUAAAACCAGCACCUCAAGUGGUCAGGAUGAUUAUUGGGCCUAAAGCAUCCGUAGCUCGUUUUGUAAGUUUUCGGUUAAAUCCAUGCGCUUAACGUAUGGGCUGCCGGGAAUACUGCAUAACUAGGAAGUGGGAGAGGUAGACGGUACUCGGUAGGAAGGGGUAAAAUCCUUUGAUCUAUUGAUGACCACCUGUGGCGAAGGCGGUCUACCAGAACACGUUCGACGGUGAGGGAUGAAAGCUGGGGGAGCAAACCGGAUUAGAUACCCGGGUAGUCCCAGCUGUAAACUAUGCAAACUCAGUGAUGCAUUGGCUUGUGGCCAAUGCAGUGCUGCAGGGAAGCCGUUAAGUUUGCCGCCUGGGAAGUACGUACGCAAGUAUGAAACUUAAAGGAAUUGGCGGGGGAGCACCACAAGGGGUGAAGCCUGCGGUUCAAUUGGAGUCAACGCCAGAAAUCUUACCCGGAGAGACAGCAGAAUGAAGGUCAAGCUGAAGACUUUACCAGACAAGCUGAGGAGGUGGUGCAUGGCCAAUCU
rnacentral:rRNA from 1 species